GAGCGCAUAGCCUCCCCCCACUGUCGGAUGUCAGAGAAAGUGAAACUUCCUCGACACGGCCUCGGCUCAGUUGCCGACCACAUACAUUAAACGCAAUGACAGAGCCAGAGCUAACCGUGGUGACAGUGAUGUGUAGGAAGGAAUAACAACGGCCACCGAGGAGCUGAGGCAAGGGAUAGAAAAAAAAGAAAGAAUAGUCCACGGAAAGGCAGCCGAAAGACAGAUGUGAGGUAGCUGGUGGCUCAACGCUGUCAAACAUAGAUGGAGGCAGGUUGCCAGAUUCCGAGGGACCAAUCGUGGAGGCUCCCUGAUAUUCAAAGGCAUCCUGUCAACGAGAACCAGACCUGCCUUCCCCAGUACUGUUGAGGCUGAAGGCUCUUGAAACGACAAAGGUCAGAGUGGAUAUACGUGCGGAGGCGGAGCGCACUGCGGCCCAUCUCUGGCAACACGUCCUCGUCGAUGUCAGCCGCGUCGAAGACAAAGCGCGGCGGAGAGGCAAAGUGACACCAGCGAUCGCCACGUCCCCCUCCCUCCCUCCCCGUCUAAUCUCCGGGGACGGCUGUUGCUGCCACGCCGAGGCUUGUUGAUGUCUCGUCGCGCAUGGCUGCCUUGUUUCGCUCCGGAGUUGGCCUUCAGAAUCAGCGCAGAGGUAUGAUUCUCCCCAGCGUGGACGUUUUUAUUUUUAGGCUAAGGGGGAUCGGUGUUACUUCUGGUUCUGUGUUUUUAUCACGAUCCGAAAGAGUUAGUUUAAAAGAGUUGUUUCGUGUGAAAAGCAAGAGAGAAAUCUACUCAAAUAUUGAGUUCCUUGGGUUUACACAUGGGCGUCAGCUUGGUUUGAAAUGUGCUGGGGACAGAGACCCAUUCGGAAGUGCAUUUUCAAAAGUGCUGGGUACAAUGAGGACGCACUCUUUUUUUCUCUCUUGAGUGCCGGUAAUGAAAGGUUCUGAAAGACGGCAUACCUAUGUAGUUAUUACUAAGGAAUAAAAUGUCUACAUAAUCUGUCUGACAAGUUUUAUGAAGAAAACGUUUCCAAAAAUCAUCGGACAUAUGACCCACUAUGUUCUGCUCCAUGUAUCCAAUGUUGACAACGUGACAUGAAAUGGCUAAGCUAACAACAUAAACAAGAGGAGCUAGGAAAGGAAGUUAUCUGCGUGUUU